GCCGGAGUGGUGAAACUGGCAGACGCGCUGGACUCAAAAUCCAGUGGGCUAAUAGCCCGUGUCGGUUCGAGUCCGACCUCCGGCA
rnacentral:tRNA from 1 species